rnacentral:rRNA from 1 species
GACGAACGCUGGCGGCGUGCCUAAUACAUGCAAGUCGAGCGGACGGAUGGGAGCUUGCUCCCAGACCGUCAGCGGCGGACGGGUGAGUAACACGUGGGCAACCUGCCUGUAAGACUGGGAUAACUCCGGGAAACCGGGGCUAAUACCGGAUAACUCUUUCCCUCACAUGAGGGAAAGCUGAAAGAUGGCAUCUCGCUAUCACUUACAGAUGGGCCCGCGGCGCAUUAGCUAGUUGGUGAGAUAACGGCUCACCAAGGCGACGAUGCGUAGCCGACCUGAGAGGGUGAUCGGCCACACUGGGACUGAGACACGGCCCAGACUCCUACGGGAGGCAGCAGUAGGGAAUCUUCCGCAAUGGACGAAAGUCUGACGGAGCAACGCCGCGUGAGUGAUGAAGGUUUUCGGAUCGUAAAACUCUGUUGUCAGGGAAGAACAAGUACCGGAGUAACUGCCGGUACCUUGACGGUACCUGACCAGAAAGCCACGGCUAACUACGUG